GUCAGCCGCUUGUUGGCAAGUAUCCGGCCAGCAACCUUCACCUGUCAGCGGCAACUGCUUUCACAGGCUCAUCAUUUGUACAAAUACAGAAGUAUCUUUGAUGAGGGGCCAGGAGCUGAUCUAUGCUGCUAUGCCCAUCAAUGGGACUCUGGCAAAACCUCACCUCCAGCCUCACCUCUUGCCUGCUCACCAACGGUUGUAGAUGGGGAGAACAGAAUUAGAAACAUGUAUGGAGCCAGCAAAUGGAGACUUGCAAGGGGAUGUGAUGAAGUCCAGACUGACAGACG